rnacentral:rRNA from 1 species
GACGAACGCUGGCGGCGCGCUUAACACAUGCAAGUCGAGCGAGAUCCAGGCCUUCGGGCCUGGGGACAGCGGCGAACGGGUGAGUAACACGUGGGUAAUCAACCCUCGACACUGGGAUAGCCCGGGGAAACCCGGAUUAAUACCGGAUGGCCCUUCGGAUCUUCGGAUCUGACGGGAACGGUAGCUUCGGCCUCCGGUCGAGGACGAGCCCGCGGCGGAUUAGCUUGUUGGUGGGGUAACGGCUCACCAAGGCGACGAUCCGUAGCUGGUCUGGGAGGACGAUCAGCCACACUGGGGCUGGGACACGGCCCAGACUCCUCCGGGAGGCAGCAGUGGGGAAUCUUGCGCUAAUGCGGGCAACCGUGACGCAGCGACGCCGCGUGAGGGAAGAAGGCCUUCGGGUUGAAAACCUCUUUCAGGAGGGACGAAGCCACUCGGGUGAAUAGCCCAGAGGGUGACGGUACCUCCAGAAGAAGCCCCGGCUAACUACGUGCCAGCCGCCGCCGUAACAC